UACCAGGGUACAGACCAGUCGUCUGCCCUGGGCUCACCUGUGUGGGAGUCCGUCGGCCCAGUAGGUCGGCGGCCUCCCUCCUUCCCGGGAUGGGAAGAUACCCAGAGAUGAACUUCAAGUCCCGACUGCAGAGGGUGAUCCUGCUCCAGACUUGACCAGUUUAAACCUUCAAAAAGACAGAAUUCGUGAGCCAGAUCCCCAUCCUCGUCAUAGAACAUGGAGCUGUGCAGAGGGAGAGGGGAACAGGCUGGGCUGGAGCCCCACGCUAGUCAUGGCAAAUGCCAUCGACCACAGGGAAGUAUGCCCUCCCCCAAAUGGGGAAGAACAACCUUGGUGGGAGAAAGGGAGGUUAAUAUGCCUGGAGAAUCCCUCGCUUAGGGUCUGGGUCCGCUAGAAAGUGGGGAGUGGGAUGGUGGCAAGUGCUACUCUGUCAGACCCUAAGAAGAGAGGCCAUACCAAAAUGUCACUGGUUUGUUCAGCAAGAGUAGCCAUUCCAUCAGGCCCGUGACUUCACCCAGGACUUCUAGAGUGAGAAGGAUGGUGGCCCGGGUAUGCUGGUCUCACUCCAGAAGACACUGCUGGCCCAAGGCCAAGCCUGAGAUAGCAGAUGCCUGAGCUAGGAGGGAGCCUGAAAGAAAAAAGGCUGCAUCCUCCCCGGUCCAGGUGGCUGAUGCAACCAAACUGCCAUUGUUGGGGUCCCCCUAGAUUCUACAUCCAAAUUCCAGCAACACCUGAGCAGCAGUCCCCAGGGCCCAUGAGAUCCAGGCCGAUCUAGUGCUCCUAUCUGGGCCCCUUGGGGGAGGGGAGAGGUCAGUGCCCCCUGAUCUGGGAAAACAUACCUGGGGUGAGGGUCUUUUUCCCCAGAUCCCAGCCUCAACCCUAGGGCCCAGUCCUACUCUCCCAGCCACUACCCAAACAGGUCCAACCCUACCACUGUGGGGAACGGAAACAGACAAAACAGAGGGUCAUUCUCUUCUAGGGAGAACUGGGGGUGAGGGAGAAUAGGAGCCUUCAGCUAACAGGCUGGGAUGGAAAGGAUGAAAGGAAGAGGCUCUGGAGUCUCAGGGAGACCCUAUCUUAGCUUUAUCGUACGGAGGACCUGCCCAGGGACAAGCCUCAGGCCCACUCUUCUAGGGAGACCUUCAGAGCAGCCAGGCCACCAGGAACCGCCUGCUCGGCUUUCCCCACCCCUUGUUCCUAUGGGGACCUGAAAUAUGGGAAUCGUCCUGUCUCGGGUGUACGGGGUACAGCGGCGGGAGCGCCCCAUGUCGCGAGACGCCCAGCCGCCCGUCUGA